CCUACGGGUGGCAGCAGUAGGGAAUGUUCGGCAAUGGGGGGAACCCUGACCGAGCAACGCCGCGUGAACGAAGAAGUUAUUCGUAAUGUAAAGUUCUUUUAACAGGGAAGAAAGAGAAAGUGGACGGUACCUGAAGAAUAAGCCCCGGCUAACGACGUGCCAGCAGCCGCGGUAAUACGUAGGGAGCGAGCGUUAUCCGGAUUUAUUGGGCGUAAAGGGUGCGGCGAUGGCAUAGUAAGUCUUUUGUAAAACUGCUGGGCUCAACCCAGUAGGGCAAAAGAUACUGCAAAGCUAGAGUAUGACAGAGGCAAGUGGAACUACAUGUGUAGCGGUUAAAUGCGUACAUAU
rnacentral:rRNA from 1 species